GGCCAGAUAGCUCAGUUGGUAGAGCAAAGGACUGAAAAUCCUUGUGUCGGCGGUUCGACCCCGUCUCUGGCCACCA
rnacentral:tRNA from 1 species